CAGUCGCCGCGGUAACACGUAGGGUGCAAGCGUUGUCCGGAAUUAUUGGGCGUAAAGAGCUCGUAGGCGGUUUGUCGCGUCUGCUGUGAAAUCUGGGGGCUCAACCCCCAGCCUGCAGUGGGUACGGGCAGACUAGAGUGCGGUAGGGGAGAUUGGAAUUCCUGGUGUAGCGGUGGAAUGCGCAGAUAUCAGGAGGAACACCGAUGGCGAAGGCAGAUCUCUGGGCCGUAACUGACGCUGAGGAGCGAAAGCAUGGGGAGCGAACAGGAUUAGAUACCCCUGUAGUCCCUGUCUCUUAUAC
rnacentral:rRNA from 1 species